rnacentral:rRNA from 1 species
AUUGAACGCUGGCGGCAUGCUUUACACAUGCAAGUCGAACGGCAGCACGGGUGCUUGCACCUGGUGGCGAGUGGCGGACGGGUGAGUAAUACAUCGGAACGUAUCCUAAAGUGGGGGAUAACGCAUCGAAAGAUGUGCUAAUACCGCAUACACUCUGAGGAGGAAAGUAGGGGAUCGAAAGACCUUAUGCUUUUGGAGCGGCCGAUGUCUGAUUAGCUAGUUGGUAAGGUAAUGGCUUACCAAGGCAACGAUCGAGUAGUUGGUCUGAGAGGACGACCAGCCACACUGGGACUGAGACACGGCCCAGACUCCUACGGGAGGCAGCAGUGGGGAAUUUUGGACAAUGGGCGCAAGCCUGAUCCAGCAAUGCCGCGUGAGUGAAGAAGGCCUCGGUUGUAAGACUCUUCAGUUUGAGAAGAAAGAAUUGUGACUAAUAAUUAGU